GACGAACGCUGGCGGCGUGCUUAACACAUGCAAGUCGAACGGAAAGGCCAUGCGUUUGCUGGGUGCUCGAGUGGCGAACGGGUGAGUAACACAUGAGUAACCUCCCCUUGACUUUGUGAUAAAUUCAGGAGACUGGGGCUAAUACCCGAUAGGAGCUACUGAUGCAUGGUGGUGGAUGGAAAGUUUCGGCGGUUGGGGAUGGACUCGCGGGUUAUCAGCUUGCUGGUGGGGUAGUGGCUUACCGAGGCUUUGACGGGUAGCCGGCCUGAGAGGGUGACCGGCCACAGUGGGACUGAGAGACGGCCCAGACUCCUACGGGAGGCAGCAGUGGGGAAUAUUGAACAAGGGGCGGAAGCCUGAUGCAGAAACGCCGCGUGCGGGAUGACGGCCUUCGGGGUGUAAACCGCUUUCGCCUGUGACGAAGCGUGAGUGACGGUAAUGGGUAAAGAAGCACCGGCUAACUACGUG
rnacentral:rRNA from 1 species